rnacentral:tRNA from 1 species
CUGGUGGCUCAGAUGGUAAAGAAUCUGCCUUCAAUGCAGGAGACCCAGGUUCGAUCCCUGAGCCAG